GGUAGAGACAAGGUUUCACUAUCUUGUCCAAGGCUGGUCUUGAACUCUUGAGCUCAAGUGAUCCUCCUGCCUUGGCCUCCCAAAGUGCUGGGGUUACAGGCAUGAGCCACUGCGCCCAGCAAGGGCCUCAGUUUCUUCAUGUCAAAUGCCACACAUGCAGGACAGACAUUUUGUUAGCACCUUCUGGUUCUAUCAUUUUCGUAAUCUGUAACUAAACAAUAAUUUAUGAGUUAAUGAUGUUAUUGAGUUUUAAGUUUUUGGUUGUUAAAAUAAAUUCCUAGCCAGGCACAGUGGCUCAUGCCUAUAAUCCCAGCACUUUGAGAGGCCAAGAAUAAAAUUACCUUCAGUUGGUUGGUCUGGUCUCAGAAUCACACAUUGGUCCAGAAUUACACUUGCCCUGCUCUGAAGAAGAAUGCCACCUGAGAGCACAAAUGUAUAGAAAGAAAUGUACAUAAUAAAGCCAUCACAGAAGCAGAUAUGAUGGGACAGAUAUAAUAACAGAUGCCCUUUCAACUUGAUCCUCUCAUGCUAGGCCUAAAAUAAAAGAGUUAGAUUUAGUGUGUGUAUAUAUGGGUUACGUUUCAGAAGACAUGAAAUUGGUCUAAAUCUAAAUAAAAAUGAGCUAAGCUCUGCCUAGGUUCAUUUACAUUCAUCUAUCAACAGCCUUGCAGAGAUGGUUAUGUAAGUGCUACGGGAUGGUUCCAGCACUUGUUUCAAAGGGUCUUUCAGUCCAUUCAAGCUGCAUCCAAAAAUAGUUGAGGCUGGGCCCUAUUCUGUACUGCCUGUGGCUUCACAAACUGAAAACCACCAUAUCAGACGUGGUUAUGCCCUACCUUGCUCGGCUUUCUGGGUUAGAUCCUCUGAAAUUUCAUUUUAUGAGUAUUCCUGAUUACCAAAUGUUCAGAACUCAGCUCCUGCCCCACAAAUUCUUUAUGACAUUGCAUAAAACCAGUGACAGUGCCACAUCCAGGCAGGAUGAGGACCACGCACUCCUAACUAUGGAGACAGGAAUGCUGGCAGUGCUACUUUUGAGGUCACUGUUGGCCAAGAUAAUUGCUUCACUAGGCAAAGGCAAACCCCCUUAAGUGAGUUUCCUGAGGACUCAGAGAGGAAGGCCACAGGUGCUCCAGGAGGAGGAUGCACCAUCAGGGACCUUGGACAAUGACAGCAAGACAGUGAGAAGCCUCUGGGGACCAUUCUACAGGGGACUUCUUCCCUGGCCGUGCAGCUGACAGGCCCCAGGAAGCAGAGUCCCUGGGCUCUCCCUGGCAGCUCUCGGUGCAUUUCCAGGGGAACAGCUUGGCAGCCCCGUGCUGGGUGGUGCGCUCCAUCUAUUUCUAUGGUACCUAUCACCAUGGUACCUACUUGCUCUGAAAAACACAGCUAAAAACAGAACAUAAAGAAUAGGAGCACAGUCCGCUUCCCUGCAGUCACCUUCUGCAGCUGUUGUUAUGCCUCAAGAUUGCUCUCAUGGGCC
rnacentral:lncRNA from 10 species